AAACUGAGAAUGGAGCUUUGGGAUUUGAGAAUGGAGCAAUGAAAAUUUAUGACCACCUAGUUGGGCAUUUAGAGAGAGAAAGAGAGAGGAUAAUUGUUCUUUUGGUUAUUACCCAUUCACACAUUUAGAGAGAGAGAGAGUUACCUUUUUUUUUUGUUAUAACUGAUGCAUCAGGCAUUUAGAGAGAGAGAGAAUUACCUGUCUUUUUGUUAUAACUAAUGUAUCGGACAUUUAUAGAGAGAGGGGUACCUGGUUUUUUGGGUUAGGAUUUGUUAGAGAGAUAAAAGUACCUGAUUUUUGGGGUUAGGAUUUGCUAGGGAGAGAGAAAG
rnacentral:lncRNA from 1 species